rnacentral:rRNA from 1 species
UACGUAGGUGGCAAGCGUUGUCCGGAUUUACUGGGCGUAAAGAGCGCGCAGGCGGUCGUUCAAGUCGCGUGUGAAAGCCCCCGGCUCAACUGGGGAGGGUCACGCGAUACUGAUCGACUCGAAGGCAGGAGAGGGUAGUGGAAUUCCCGGUGUAGUGGUGUAAUGCGUAGAUAUCGGGAGGAACACCAGUGGCGAAGGCGACUACCUGGCCUGUUCUUGACGCUGAGGCGCGAAAGCUAGGGGAGCAAACGGG